GACGAACGCUGGCGGCGUGCUUAACACAUGCAAGUCGAACGGAAAGGCCCUGCUUUUGUGGGGUGCUCGAGUGGCGAACGGGUGAGUAACACGUGAGUAACCUGCCCUUGACUUUGGGAUAACUUCAGGAAACUGGGGCUAAUACCGGAUAGGAGCUCCUGCUGCAUGGUGGGGGUUGGAAAGUUUCGGCGGUUGGGGAUGGACUCGCGGCUUAUCAGCUUGUCGGUGGGGUAGUGGCUUACCAAGGCUUUGACGGGUAGCCGGCCUGAGAGGGUGACCGGCCACAUUGGGACUGAGAUACGGCCCAGACUCCUACGGGAGGCAGCAGUGGGGAAUAUUGCACAAUGGGCGGAAGCCUGAUGCAGCAACGCCGCGUGCGGGAUGACGGCCUUCGGGUUGUAAACCGCUUUCGCCCGUGACGAAGCGUGAGUGACGGUAAUGGGUAAAGAAGCACCGGCUAACUACGUG
rnacentral:rRNA from 1 species